rnacentral:rRNA from 1 species
AUUGAACGCUGGCGGCAGGCCUAACACAUGCAAGUCGAGCGGAUGAAGGGAGCUUGCUCCUGGAUUCAGCGGCGGACGGGUGAGUAAUGCCUAGGAAUCUGCCUGGUAGUUGGGGAUAACGUCCGGAAACGGGCGCUAAUACCGCAUACGUCCUGAGGGAGAAAGUGGGGGAUCUUCGGACCUCACGCUAUCAGAUGAGCCUAGGUCGGAUUAGCUAGUUGGUGAGGUAAAGGCCUACCAAGGCGACGAUCCGUAACUGGUCUGAGAGGAUGAUCAGUCACACUGGAACUGAGACACGGUCCAGACUCCUACGGGAGGCAGCAGUGGGGAAUAUUGGACAAUGGGCGAAAGCCUGAUCCAGCCAUGCCGCGUGUGUGAAGAAGGUCUUCGGAUUGUAAAGCACUUUAAGUUGGGAGGAAGGGCAGUAAGUUAAUACCUUGCUGUUUUGACGUUACCAACAGAAUAAGCACCGGCUAACUUCGUG